CUCCUACGGGAGGCAGCAGUGGGGAAUAUUGGACAAUGGGCGCAAGCCUGAUCCAGCCAUGCCGCGUGAGUGAUGAAGGCCUUAGGGUUGUAAAGCUCUUUUGCCGGGGAAGAUACUGACGGUACCCGGAGAAUAAGCACCGGCUAACUUCGUGCCAGCAGCCGCGGUAAUACGAAGGGUGCUAGCGUUGUUCGGAAUCACUGGGCGUAAAGCGCGCGCAGGCGGUCAUUCAAGUCAGGGGUGAAAUCCCAGAGCUUAACUCUGGAAUUGCCUUUGAAACUGUAUGGCUAGAGUUCAGGAGGGGAUAGCGGAAUUCCUAAUGUAGAGGUGAAAUUCGUAGAUAUUAGGAGGAACACCGGUGGCGAAGGCGGCUAUCUGGACUGACACUGACGCUGGGGCGCGAAAGCGUGGGGAUCAAACAGGAUUAGAUACCCUGGUAGUCCACGCCGUAAACGAUGAGUGCUAGCUGUUGGAACCUUUGGUUCCAGUGGCGACGCUAACGC
rnacentral:rRNA from 1 species